GCGCAGCCGUCCUUUUUAUCACAUCGCGGAUUCAUCAUGGCGCCCUUCCGAUAUUGUGAUACUAGUGUAAUGCGCUAAGAAUCUUUGGCAAUUUUACAGAAUCGUGAUUAAGUUCCUAAAUUGAAUAGUAAGACUAAAUAUAUCUAAUUAAUCGCAAGUGCACAAGCUCAUAUAACGGACGCUUUAAUAAUUGCAAAAUGCCUGUAGUACCUGGAGGAGCUUAUCAACAAGGACCUUCUUGUUUUGACAGAAUGAAAUUAGGCUUUACAAUUGGAUUUUGUGUAGGAAUGGCCUCUGGUAUGCUCUUUGGAGGAUUUUCUGCUCUUAGAUAUGGAUUGAGGGGAAGAGAAUUGGUAAACAAUGUUGGCAAAGUGAUGAUUCAAGGUGGCGGUACAUUCGGCACAUUUAUGGCUAUUGGAACAGGAAUACGAUGCUAGUGUGUGUUCAUGGAUAAAGCUAUAUAUGGAACAUUUUGGAGUUUAUCUCCGAGUUACAACUGUAUUGAUUUGUUUUUCCUGGGAUAUUGAGACCGAAACUUAAAUGUCUAAUCUUAUGCGUCAUAUUGAAGUGAGUUGAAGUGUAAGGCUGAACAUCGUGUACUGCAAUAUUGAAAAAUAAGUUAAUGAAAGCAACAGUGAAUAUUAUA